UACGGGGGGAGCAAGCGUUGUUCGGAUUUACUGGGCGUAAAGGGCGCGUAGGCGGCAAUUCAAGUCAUCUGUGAAAUCUCCGGGCUUAACUCGGAACGGUCAGAUGAUACUGCUUUGCUAGAGUGCGGAAGGGGCAAUCGGAAUUCUCGGUGUAGCGGUGAAAUGCGUAGAUAUCGAGAGGAACACCUGAGGUGAAGACGGGUUGCUGGGCCGACACUGACGCUGAGUGCGCGAAAGCCAGGGGAGCAAACGGG
rnacentral:rRNA from 1 species